rnacentral:rRNA from 1 species
GACGAACGCUGGCGGCGUGCUUAACACAUGCAAGUCGAACGGAGUGGCGAACGGGUGAGUAACACGUGGGUGAUCUGCCUUGCACUUCGGGAUAAGCUUGGGAAACUGGGUCUAAUACCGGAUAGUGCAAGAUGAGCUCGCGGCCUAUGAGCUUGUUGGUGGGGUAAUGGCCUACCAAGGCGUCGACGGGUAGCCGGCCUGAGAGGGUGUACGGCGACAUUGGGACUGGGGUACGGCCCAGACGCCUACGGGAGGCAGUGGUGGGGAAGAUUGCCCAAUGGGCGGACGCAUGAGGCAGCGACGCCGGGGGGGGGAUGAAGGCCUGCGGGUUGUAAACUCCUUUCGACAGGGACGCGGUACCUGGAGAAGAAGCACCGGCUAACUACGUGCCAGCAGCCGCGGUAAUAC